AACGAACGCUGGCGGCAGGCCUAACACAUGCAAGUCGAGCGAUACCAGCAAUGGUGGAGCGGCAGACGGGUGAGUAACACGUGGGAACGUACCCUUCGGUUCGGAAUAACUCAGGGAAACUUGAGCUAAUACUGGAUACGUCCGAGAGGAGAAAGAUUUAUCGCCGAAGGAUCGGCCCGCGUCUGAUUAGCUAGUUGGUGAGGUAAUGGCUCACCAAGGCGACGAUCAGUAGCUGGUCUGAGAGGAUGAUCAGCCACAUUGGGACUGAGACACGGCCCAAACUCCUACGGGAGGCAGCAGUGGGGAAUAUUGGACAAUGGGCGCAAGCCUGAUCCAGCCAUGCCGCGUGAGUGAUGAAGGCCUUAGGGUUGUAAAGCUCUUUUGUCAGGGAAGAAACGGUUCGGGCCAAUACCCUGGGCUAAUGACGGUACCUGAAGAAUAAGCACCGGC
rnacentral:rRNA from 1 species